rfam:Kazachstania saulgeensis genome assembly, contig: scaffold_03
GCGUCAGUAGUUCAGUGGUUAGAAUCUAUCGUUCCCAACGAUGGGGCCCGGGUUCGAUUCCCGGCUUUCGCA